GGAAUAACCAUCGGAAACAAUGGCUAAUGCCCCAUAUGCUCGCAAGAGUGAAAGGAGCAAUCCACCCAAAGAGAAGCUCGCGGCUGAUUAGCUAGUUGGUAAGGUAAUGGCUUACCAAGGCGACGAUCAGUAGCUGGUUUGAGAGAACGAUCAGCCACACUGGAACUGAGACACGGUCCAGACUCCUACGGGAGGCAGCAGUGGGGAAUUUUCCGCAAUGGGCGAAAGCCUGACGGAGCAAUACCGCGU
rnacentral:rRNA from 1 species